AAUAGAUACCCGGGUAGUCCACGCCGUAAACGAUGAGUGCUAAGUGUUAGAGGGUUUCCGCCCUUUAGUGCUGCAGCUAACGCAUUAAGCACUCCGCCUGGGGAGUACGGUCGCAAGACUGAAACUCAAAGGAAUUGACGGGGGCCCGCACAAGCGGUGGAGCAUGUGGUUUAAUUCGAAGCAACGCGAAGAACCUUACCAGGUCUUGACAUCCUCUGACAACUCUAGAGAUAGAGCGUUCCCCUUCGGGGGACAGAGUGACAGGUGGUGCAUGGUUGUCGUCAACUCGUGUCGUGAGAUGUUGGGUUAAGUCCCGCAACGAGCGCAACCCUUGAUCUUAGUUGCCAGCAUUUAGUUGGGCACUCUAAGGUGACUGCCGGUGACAAACCGGAGGAAGGUGGGGAUGACGUCAAAUCAUCAUGCCCCUUAUGACCUGGGCUACACACGUGCUACAAUGGAUGGUACAAAGGGCUGCAAGACCGCGAGGUCAAGCCAAUCCCAUAAAACCAUUCUCAGUUCGGA
rnacentral:rRNA from 1 species